UAAGGUUAAGUUAAUAAGGGCGCACGGUGGAUGCCUUGGCACUAGGAGCCGACGAAGGACGUGACAAACGACGAUAUGCCUUGGGUAGCUGUAAGUAAGCGAUGAUCCAGGGAUUUCCGAAUGGGGGAACCCAACAGGUAAUACCUGUUACCUACAUCUGUUAAGGAUGUGAGGAGGAAGACGCAGUGAACUGAAACAUCUAAGUAGCUGCAGGAAUAGAAAGCAAAAGCGAUUGCCUUAGUAGCGGCGAGCGAAACGGCAGAAGGGCAAACCGAAGAGUUUACUCUUCGGGGUUGUAGGACUGCAAUGUGGACUCAAAGAUUAUAGAAGAAUGAUUUGGGAAGAUCAGCCAAAGAGAGUAAUAGCCUCGUAUUUAAAAUAGUCUUUGUACCUAGCAGUAUCCUGAGUACGGCGGGACACGUGAAAUCCCGUCGGAAUCUGGGAGGACCAUCUCCCAACCCUAAAUACUCCCUAGUGACCGAUAGUGAACCAGUACCGUGAGGGAAAGGUGAAAAGCACCCCGGGAGGGGAGUGAAAUAGAACCUGAAACCGUGUGCCUACAACAAGUUCGAGCCCGUUAAUGGGUGAGAGCGUGCCUUUUGUAGAAUGAACCGGCGAGUUACGUUAUGAUGCGAGGUUAAGUUGAAGAGACGGAGCCGUAGGGAAACCGAGUCUGAAUAGGGCGCCUUAGUAUCAUGACGUAGACCCGAAACCAUGUGACCUACCCAUGAGCAGGUUGAAGGUGCGGUAAGACGCACUGGAGGACCGAACCAGGGCACGUUGAAAAGUGCUUGGAUGACUUGUGGGUAGCGGAGAAAUUCCAAACGAACUUGGAGAUAGCUGGUUCUCUCCGAAAUAGCUUUAGGGCUAGCGUCGACAUUAGAGAUUCUUGGAGGUAGAGCACUGUUUGGGUGAGGGGUCCAUCCCGGAUUACCAAUCUCAGAUAAACUCCGAAUGCCAAUGAAUUAUGGUCGGCAGUCAGACUGCGAGUGCUAAGAUCCGUAGUCGAAAGGGAAACAGCCCAGACCACCAG
rnacentral:rRNA from 1 species